rnacentral:lncRNA from 1 species
GAGGUCAUACAAAUCUACUGUAACUUGUCGCAAGAUGUUUUAUUUUGUUUUGUUUCAUAUACAAAUCUAAGUUUGAUUCGCUCGAAAGCAAAACAAACAAAUAAAGUCGUCGUGCACAAAAAAGCCUGAAGUGAAUCAAGAACAUUUCGAGGAUGCACAAUAACAAUAUCAAUCGUCGGAAUUAAAAUGAUGGAUACUAAUAGUGCGGCUCCACCAACAUCGUAGUACCACAAAACAAGCAGCAAGCAACUUAAGGACAUGGCGACGGAGCAGAUGGCAGAUAACGAACGACAUGGGUACCUUUGCGCCGGACAGGCCCGGACUAUGCAUCACCCAUGCCAGCAAAAUAAUCAAAAAUGGCGAAGACCAACUGCGCCGCGAUCGCUGUGACGCUGAUGGCAACCUUUGCCACCUCCGGAACCUUGCCGCCCAACAUAUUCCCUACGGCGGAGGAGAUCAGACGGAGAAGCUCCAUUAUCUCUGCAGUGUCCGAGGAUGCACGCCUCCACUUUGAUGACUCUGGCGGCACGAACUUGCUUGGAAACAUGGGUGUAGAGGCCCUGUUGAUGCCAUCCAAGAUGGCGGCGACGAGAGACGCAACAUCACCAGCUCGCACGAGUCCGUUCACGCCGUCCAGCUUCCUCUUCGCCCAAGCGGCCGCCGCGACGCCGUGCAAGCACUCAAUCAUCUGGACGACGCGGCUGCUAACACAAGCGGCAGCGCGCUUCACCGCGUCGCAGGCCUGGGCGACGACCUGCUUGAACUCCUCGUAGGCCUCGGCCGAAGCUACCUCGCGGUACAGCCGGGACACGUAGAAUGCCGCGGCCUCCGCCGCGUCGGCGAUGGCGUCGAAAACAGCUUCAACUGCCGCAUACGCUGACCUGUGCGCAGCCUCGACGGCUGCUCCCCCCAGCACCGCCCCCACCGCCACCAGCGCAACCUUGCUCAUCGCGCCUCCCAUUGUGUGUCUCUGAAAUCUACGUUGAGGUAGAGACUACGAUGGGCAGGAGUUCUACUACAAGUGACCGUGAGGCUUCGGAGCGGGUUUUAUGGUGAGCGGGCUAACCAGGAGCUGUGACGAUCGAUUGAAUCCGAUGCGCGCGUGCGUGGGAAAACGAAGUGCCGGAGGAUCAAUUAACGCUCCGUCGCAUGGGAACUCGUGGUUGCGCCGGGCGCAGUUUGACCGGGCAGUCUCUCCAGCAGGCUGAAAAUAUCACCUGAUACCAACUCUUUAGACUGCUCACAGUGGGAAGUAACAUAGAGUAGUAACUUGUCGAUGUUACUACCUCCGUCUCGGUGAUAAGUCAUUCAUGUAGUUCUAGGUCGACGAUUUAAUUAUCUAAAUAUGUAUUAUAUGUGACAAAAAAUAUAUAUUUAGAAACUACAUCCGUGUAGAAAUCCAGUGAUAUACUUUUCAUGAUAUAUAACACAUAUUUAAUUCCUCAAAUCGAUGACCUAGAACUACGCGAAUGACUUAUUCACCUAGACGGAGGUAGUACUAGUCUAUGUUAUUACCUCCAUAGUGGGUAGUAACAUAUGAGUGAUAUCAUGAAAGAGUUCAUUUAUUAGGCUAUAGACUCAUUAUGCCUUGAAAUGUGUGAUGUUACAGUAACUAGCUAAGUUACCAUAAACCCCUCUCUCCUUAUUAAUUAGCUGCCACAUAAGCAAUCUUGUAUUGAAAUGUGUGAUGUUACUACUUAAGUUACUCCCAUUGUGACUAGUCUUACAUGCUACUAUCAUGAUACCAACUUCUAAAAUUCAAUGUUUUAAAUAGCGGACUACUCUAUAGAAAAUAGCGGGAGGCCUCCAAAUCAGCUACUGAAAAGUUUAUUUAUGAAGGCGACCAUUUAGCGGCACCCUGCUGAAAAGUUCAAAUUUAAACAUGUCAAAAAUUUCAGAAAAAAAACCAUGGAUGUUCACAACAGAUAUUUCGACAACCUCUAACAAAUUCAGAUUAAAAUUUGACAUACACAUGGAGAAAGAAAAAGGACAAAUUUAUCAUGAAUAGUGUCAAAAGAAGACAUUACAAAAAUGACACUAUUCACAUUUAAAUUUGUCUUCUUUGUAUCUCCACGUGUGUUUCGGAUUUUGAUUUUUUUUAGGGGUUGUCGACGUACUUCCCCUCUCGAGUAGAGCAACGGAUGGAUGAGUGCAUGCUCGGCGGCUCGAUCGGCGAUCGGCCUUUUAAUUCGAUUGAAAUGAAUUACGGUCACGAGUUACGAGUAUACUGUGAAGUCCGUACACACAUGAAGAAUGGACAUCCCAAGUUUUAUUUUUUGCUUGGAUGACAUUAAGGCGCCCUGACCUCUGGGUCUCGGCCCGGGUGCUCUGGUUCAAUACUCCCUCUAUUCCCAUGAAUAAAGCGGAGUAAAAUACACUCAAAAAUCCUAAAAGUAUUUCAAGUGUGUGAAGUAUAGGUCUUAAAAGUUCGAAAUUAUUCACCACGGGUCCUAAAAGUAUUUCGAAUGUGUCAACUACUAAUAGGUCAUAAAAGUUGCGGGUAAAAUACACAUAUAAGACCUGUGGUGAGCGAUUUCAAAUUUUUAGGAUCUACUUGACACAUUUGAAAUACUUUUUGGACCUACGGUGUAUUUUACUCAAUAAAGCACACAAAAUUUUAAAUUCAAGUUUGACCAGAAAUUAAACUAAUAUAUAUAUAUAUAUAUAUAUAUAUAUGACUUAAAAACUAUACCGCUGUUAUACUUUAAAAAAUUAAUUCAAUGAUAUAUUUUUUAUCACAAAAUCCACAUUUGGUUGGUCUAAUUUAUGGUCAAAAUCAAUUUUUGGGGUGUGUGGACACCUUAUUGUUUGGAAUGGAGCGAGUAUAUGUUGAUCUCUAGCGGCGGCUUCGCCAUUUGCGGCUCUAUGACCAGCCCGACGAUCUGCAGUGGCGAUGGACUGACUCCGACAACUAUACUGCUAAGUAUUGUUAGGGUAACUCCAACGGGUCGGUGCAUUUUCGUCUGCCUAUGUCAUCUGAUUCUGUCCGUGCGGGCUAUCAUAGUUUUGUCACGACAGAUGUCCUCGUGAAAGGACUUAGUCGUGGAGCCAUCGCUAUGGGUUAGCUUAAAGAGGUUAAACCGGACAAGGGACACGAGGGUUUUUAUACUAGUUCGCCCCCUUCGAUGAAGGUAAAAGCCUACGUCUAGUUGUGUUUCGUAUUGCUAGAGUUUCGAUGAUCAGGGAGCGAAUCCAAUUUGCUUGGCUCUCGAGUUGUUGUGUGUUGUCCUUAAACCGCGACCGGGUCGUCCCUUUAUAUACACAGGUUGACGCCCGCCAGUUUACAGAGUCCCGAGGCCGGAUUAUAAACGUGUCUGGCUCGGUCUCUAUCCUUCCUAUCUUACAAUGUAAGUUACAGGAGAGAGUCGGUUUACAUCUACAGGCCUUAACUCGCCUUUGGGCCUUGGGCCGUCGUAAAGCGUCAUCAUCCUUACGUCUUCAUGGGCUUCUAAUCUUCAUAAAGUUAACUCAGCUACUCCUGGCCGGUUUACGUCCAAUAGUAAUAUCCCCAACACGGGCAAAAAUCAUGGCCUAAAGUGGCAACGCAGACGGACCGUUGUCUAUUUUGUUGUCCGCUUUGACCAAUUUCUAGCCUAAAUUUGGGUUGGGUUGGCGUCUACGUGGACAACCGCGGAUGCCUGCGUUGUCCUCGCCCCACCCCACUGACUUUGACCUUCCCGUUCUCUUCGCCCUCACCGCUGCCACCCCGCUACCGUCCUCUUCAACACCCCCCACCACCACCCAGCCACCACCGUCAGGUUUGUUUCCACUUCUUGUCGCCGAUGUUGUACCUUGCGGCCCGCACCCUACACGUCGUUGCCGCCCUCCGCACAUCACCUCCACCGGCAAAGGAUGUUGAAUUUGACGGCCCAGCUCCCGGAACCGGCAAGGAUUGAAGUCUUCACUGGUCGAGACUCGUCAGCGCCCGUGAAGUCGCCGCCCACAAGGUGUUCGGCCGUUUGCCCGGCCUAGUUAUGAGUUACAAAUUCAUACUCUGAAGGAUCAUGGCGGAUAGCUCAGAUGUUUUCUUUUACAAUAACAUCAUAUGUUCAUCAUUGUCCGAAGAAUCGUCCGACAAGGUGAAUGAUGUUUUGGUUGGUACACUUUUUGUCAAUUAACACAUUUGGAGGCAACGACCAUUGUUCAGGGGGGAGGGGGGUAAAGGGCCAUGUGGCUGGUUUAAAUCGUAACAGAGAACCGGGCCAUAUCCUACUCUUUAACGAUUAUUUCCAUUGCAAAAGCCACUAUUUUCUGGCAAGCUUUUUCGGUGAUGAUUCUGGAUAGUGAGACCAUUGUUCAACCAUCGCGAGGGAGUGGCGGGUUAUGAUGAUUACUUCGGAUGCAAGCUAGAUGCCCUUGGUAAGAUUAGAUCUCCUCUUAUGAGAAAUGCACUGCAGCUGUUCGAAUGCUUGCAUAUGGAGUUUCCGGUGAUCUUGCUGAUCAGUACAGUGCAUGCUUGAGUCCACAUGCCUUUGAUUCAUUAUACAUGUUCCGCAAAGUUAUGGUUCAGGUGUUUGGCCCGAAGUAUUUGAGCUAGCUAUGGUUAUAUUCGUGUUUGCUAUGUAGUUUAAAUCAAAUUGAGCUAUGAAUGAUCAAAUUUGUGUGCAUAUAAGGGAUAAGGGGCCAUACAAGGGCAAAAAUUUGAAGAGAUCAGCAAGAGAUGCUCUAAUUUAGUUAAGUUGUUCAAGCCAUUUGAAAUUAUGAAUAUGCCUUGAUCUAAGUUAGGAAGAUCAUCAUUUUACAUUCAUAUUGUCUACCUACUUAUCUGUUAGUGUACUUCAGGAUGCGACUGCAUAUUGAGAUUGUAUGCUAGUUGAUCCUUUCAUCUUUGAUUUGCAGUUGUUAAAUGCUGUAGAUUAACAGAGUAUGAGAAGAUUGGGAUAUGAAGCAUCAAGGAGAAUGCAGCUCAUAUGUCACAAAUAUUUAAGAGAAAGAGUUUGGAAAUUGUUGGCUUAAAUCUUAUCUAUUCUUUUGCAUGGGCGGGUGCAAUGCUGCAGGAAGGAGAUAUCUCUUCUGAUGAGGAAGUUGAAUAUGAGGGCAGUAAAGGUCGUAGUUGUUGCCCCAGAGAUCGCACAAUCUGUAGAGGACCCAAAAUCUACAGCUACGGUACAUUUUGUUUUGUAGUACCUUAUUAGUCGUGUGACAUUAUUGUUUAUGAACUUAUGUCUUUUGACCUUUAAUCUGUGAAGAAUACCUUGUAGACCAGCAGGAAAGCCAAAAAACUACUUGAAGCUCCCAAGAUGGUUGUUCCUAUUUGGCCUGUAGCUCGUUGUAUAACGACCUAGCGCAUACCCCCUCGUGCGCCUGUCCAGCGUAUGGGCCAGCCCAGUCUGGUUAUUUCCCCUCCGGAUUUGGGAGGGUUCUACAACCUUGGUUGAACCUGAUUUUCUGUUUUCCUUUUUGUUCUCUUUUUCAUUUUCUCUUUUACGUUUGUUUUUAUUUUUCUAUUUUCUUUCUUUUUUUCUCAUUCAUCUUGCAAACUUCUUUCAAUUUGUGAACAUUUCUAAUAAACUUGCAAACAUUUUUUGAAACCACAAACAUCAUUAUAUAUUCACCAAAAUUUAUGGAAAUUGUUAACAUUUUCUGAAACUCGUGAAUAUUUUUUAUAAUAGGCGAACCUAUUUUGAAUUGAAGCAUAUUUUUUGAGUUAUGGGAACGCUUUAUUAAAUUCACUAAUAUUUUGUUAAUAAAAACUGUUUUUGAAAUGCAAGAACAUCUUUUGAAUCAGUGAACAUUCAUUGAAUCAAUGAACUUCUUUUAAAAUUUGGGAACAGUUUAUGAAAUUCUCACGCAUUUUUUGAUAUUUGUGAACUUUUUCUAAAAAUUCAUCAACAUUUGAAUGCGUGAUUUUUUUUUCAAAUUUACAAACAUGUUUUGAAUAUGAGAACAUUCUUUUAUUUUCCCGAACAUUUAGUCAAAACCACAAAUAUUUUUUGAAUAAGCAAACUUUUUUCUCAAAAUCACCAACAUUAUUUGAAUCCACAAAUAUUUUAUGAUAUCUUGAACUUUUUUGAAAAUCAUGAACAUUUUAUGAUUUCUGCAAUAAAUAUUUCAAAUUUUACAAAAAAUUUGCGAUUGGUAUCAUUUUUAAAUUACAAAUUAUUUUAAAUAGGAAACAGAAAAAAUGAAAAGAAAAAAUAAAAAGCAAAAAAUUAAAAAUAAAAUAGGCAUCCCACCUCCCACAUGGGUCGGCCCAAGAACGUUUGCGGGAGAGCGGGUCGCCAAUAUGAAAUUCUCACGCAUUUUUUGAUAUUUGUGAACUUUUCUAAAAAUUCACGAACAUUUGAAUGCGUGAUUUUUUUCAAAUUCACAAACAUGUUUUGAAUAUGUGAACAUUCUUUUAUUUUCCCGAACAUUUCGUCAAAAUCACAAAUAUUUUUUGAAUAAGCAAACUUUUUUCUCAAAAUGACGAACAUUGUUUGAAUCCACAAAUAUUUUAUAAUAUCUUGAACGUUUUUGAAAAUCAUGAACAUUUUAUGAUUUCUGAAAUAAAUAUUUCAAAUUUAGCAAAAAAAUUGCGAUUGGUAUCGUUUUGAAAUGCCAAAUUAUUUUAAAUAGGAAACAGAAAAAAUUGAAAAGAAAAAUAAAAAGCAAAAAAAAUAAAAAUAAAAUAGGCAUCCCACCUCCCACAUGGGUCGGCCCAAGAACGUUUGCGGGAGAGCGGGUGUGCCGUGUCCUCCUCGCAGCGACUUGGGCUCGGCCCAUCUACGUUCUGCUUUUAUUCCGCCAAAAAGGAAAGUGCGUUAUUGUAGGAUUCGAACCCACGGGUUCUGCAUUCUACCUUACCUGCAGUAACCACCAGGCCAUCAGAUCAGAUCUGAUCAGUUAUAUCUUCUUCCCUAUUUUCUUUCGUCUCGCUGUUUUUCUUCAUUUUUUUUCCUUUUGCUUGUUCUUUUUCUCCAUUGUUGGAACGGUUUUGUUCCCUUUUCCCUUUUCUUUUUCUUUGUUAAACGUGUGAACUCUUUUUUUUAUCAAAAUCCGAUGAACCUUUUCAAAUUCGUGAACUAAUUUUUCAAAAUCGAUGAACACUUUUUUCAAAACCGAUGAUUUUUUUCCAAAAUCAACGCACUCUUUUCGAAAUCGAUGAACUCUUUUUCAAAUCAAUGAACUCAUUUCAAAUUGAUGAACUCUUUUUGAAAUUUUUUUCAAAACUUUUGAUCUCUUUUCAAUAUUGAUGAACUCUUUUUCAGAAGCGAUGAACUUUUUCAAAAUCGAUGAACUCUUUUUAAAAUCGAUGAACAUUUUCAAAAUCGACGAACUCUUUUCGAAAUCUUUUUUUCAAACCGAUGAACUUUUUUCAAAACUGAUGAUCUCUUUUUCAAAUUGAUGAAUUCUUUUUCAAACCUGGUGAACUUUUUUCAAAACGGACGAUCUCUUUUCAAAAUUGAUGAAUUCUUUUUCAAAACCGAUGAACUUUUUCAAAAUCGAUGAACUCUUUUCAAAAUUGAUGAACUUUUUUCAAAAUCGAUGAACUCUUUUCGAUAUCGAUGAACUCUUUUCAAAAUCGAUGAACUUUUUUCCAAAUCGAUGAACUCUUUUCGAAAUCCAUGAACUUUUUUGAAUUUUGAUGAACUUUUUUUCAAACUUGGUGAAGUAAUUUUCAAUUUUGAUGAACUUUUUUUUAAUUUGAUGAACUUUUUCCAGAUACGAUGAAGAUUGUUUGCAAUUUCGAUGAACUUAUUUCAAAUUGAUGAUUUUUUUUCAAAACGGUGAACUUUUUCCAAAAUCGAUGAACUUUUUUUAAAUUCGUGAACUUUUUUCUCAAGAUUUGUGAACUAUUUUUCAACAGGUUAACUUUUUCUCAAAAUUGUGAACUUUCUCAAAUUGCUCAACUUUUUUCAAUUUUUUUUAAAAUCCUAUGUACUUUUUUUAUAAUGUUUACAAAUAGUUGAAAAAUCAAAGCGCCACGGUUAAUGUCAUGCGUGCAAUAAAGUACACGGCCACAAAUGUCCUUAAACGCUUUACGCUGAAAUAAGUCAAUAGCAAGCAUUAGGUCAGGUGGUGAAAGUGUGUUAUAUCGACUAGAAGGGGGUGAAUAGGCAAUUUCUAUGAAAGUCUUCAAAACAUGGAAGUUUCGAAGACAAAUGAUAGAAAUGAACCUAUUACCAUACAACGAAAGGUAAACUACACUAGGCAGACCAUAGUCAAGCAUUCAAUAAAGUGAAACCACAAUGACUAAUAGCAGCUAGGCAGUAAGGAUCAGGUACACAGUGAAGACAAAUAGUUAAAGCAAAUAGGCACUGACUUCACAAGAGCCAACUGUAAAUAAAGAGAUGGGAAGGAUAGAACCAGUGUGCGUGAUGAAGACAAAUGUUUGGUAGACCAGUUCCAACUGCGGUGACAGUUGUACGUCUGGUUAGAGCGGAUAGGUAUUUAAACCAGAGGACAGUCAGUCCCGGACACUUAGUCCUGAACACGCAGCUCAGGACAUUUAGUCCUCACCGUAUUCCCCUUGAGCUAAGGUCACACAGACCUCGCCCAAUCACUCUGGUAAGUCUUCAAGGUAGACUUCCAAACCUUCACAGACUUCGUUCACCGGCGAUCCACAAUGACUCUUGGAUGCUCAGAACGCGAUGCCUAACCGGCUGGAGGAUUCACAGUCCUCACGUGUAAUAAGUCUUCAGAUCACACAGACAAGAAGACUUAAGUGAUGCCUAACACUCUUUGACUCUGGGUGGUUAGGGCUUUAUCCUCUUAAGGAAUUCUCUCUCAAAGGCUUCAAGGUGGGUUGCUCUCAAACGACAAAAGCCAUACUUUAACUCUAAGCAGCCAACCGUUUAUGGUUGUAGGGGGUGGACUAUUUAUAGCCACUAGGCAACCCGACCUGAUUUGUCCGAAAUGACCCUGGGUCACUAAGGAACUGACACGUGUUCCAACGAUCAGAUUUCAAACACACACGACAACUUUACUUGGGCUACAAGCAAAGCUGACUUGUCCAACUCUGGACAAGAUUCACUCUUAUAGUCUUCACUCGAAGACAUAGGAUUUUAGUUAAGCAUCACUUCAGUCAUUCUGACUAGUUCUCUUGGACCUCACUCAACAGUACGGUGGUUCCUAUGACUAAACAAAGAAGAAAAAGAACUACGAAAGAUCUAAGUCUUCGCGCUUCAUAGUCUUCAUGCGAUGUCUUCUCUUGUCAUAGUCUUCAAUGUGAAUGUCUUCACAUAUCACCUUUGACUUCAAUGUCUUCAUACAUUUUUAGGGGUCAUCUCUGGUAGGAAAACCGAAUCAAUGAGGGAUUUCUACCUGUGUUAUCUUGCAAUUCUCACAAACACAUUAGUCCCUCAACUAGGUUUGUCGUCAAUACUCCAAAACCAACUAGGGAUGGCACUAGAUGCACUUACAGGUGGUUAGGGAAACUCGUACGUUUCUGUAACAGCGGGAGUUCGAUCACUCACGAGAACAACAUUUUCGGGAUUUUUUCGCUCUAGCGCUACCCACGUGCUAGCUUUAUCGAAUGAACUUUUGCUGGGCCGGCCCAGUAGCAACGCCUUCAGGCGCCAGUAAGCCGAACCGGCGCUAAGAGCGCCGGUUAGGAGCUCCCCGCCAAUAGGAGGUCCCAAGCGAGAGCAGCGAUUUAGUUCACCGGGCUCAUCUGAGCCUGGGCUCCGGUUGAAUUAUCGGUCCUAAGCGAGAUACUACUCUGUCGCAAUCACACAUCGUCCGAGGGGACUGAUCCCAUUUCCUAUUUGGUGCCCUCGGCGGCAGUUAAAGGAUAUUCUACAAAUCAGCGCACAACCCCAUCUGGUUUGGGCUUGGCUCAUUUCGUUUACGUCAGAUUCGAUCUCUAAACCUCACACUUCAAUACUAACCACGAUAACCAGCUGGGACACCUCACCUUUCGUGUCAAAAAAAACCACGAUAACCAGCUCGGACACCUCACCUUUCGUGACUACCUACUAUUUGCUUCUUCUUUGUUGUGCGUCAACUUGUAAUACUAAAAAGAGGACUCAUUUAAAAAAAAAUCUUUGGCUGGUUUUUCUUUGGUUUUUUAUAUUAUUUUUAUUUUUAUUUUUCCUAUAUUCAGUUUUCUAUUUUUAAAUGCUUGAAAUUUUUUCAAUUUUCACCAACCUUUUUCACAUCCAUGAACUAUUUUUUCCUAGUUUUUUUCUAACUUUCCAUUGAACUUUUUUUCUAAAUUUCAUGAACUUCUAUCAAAUCCGUGAUUAUUUUUCAGCCUUUUGCCACUUUUCAGUAAACUUCCUUUUAAAAUCCAUGAAAAUUUCGUUUUUUUGCUAAAUUUCCAGUGAACUUUUUUCAAAUUUCAUGAGUGAUAUUCAAAUUUUUGCAACUUUUAUAAUGAACUUCUUUUCCAAAAUUGGUAAACUUUUUUCAUAUCCAUGAUUUUUUUCAAAGCGCAUGGACUUUCUCGAAUCCAUGAACUUUUUUCAAAAUUAAUGAACUUGUUUCAAAUAUGAGAAUUUUGCAAAAACCGUGAACAUUUCAAAUCUGACAGAAAUUGUUUGUCAAAAUCGAUGAUCUUUUUUCAAAUUCAUGAACCUUUUUUCAGAUUCCUGAACUUUUUGUUAAAUUCAUAAAAAAAUCUAGGUUCACGAAUUUUUUUUGAAUUUAAUGUGCAUUAUUUGAAAAUUCUUGAACCUUUUCAAUUUUGUCCACUUUUUUCAAAUUGAUGAACUUUUUCAAAUUUGGGAACAUUUUUUGAAUUCAUAAACUUUUUCACAUCACGUGCUCGCAAGAGAAAACAAAAUCGGUAGCAAACCGCCUUACAUAGGCCAUGUUUGUUUGGGCUUAUACUUAAGUUUUGUAGUUUUUUCACUUUGGCUUGUAAGCCAAAAAAGCUUCUAAAUAGGGGAUUUUGUUUAUAGGNNNNNNNNNNNNNNNNNNNNNNNNNNNNNNNNNNNNNNNNNNNNNNNNNNNNNNNNNNNNNNNNNNNNNNNNNNNNNNNNNNNNNNNNNNNNNNNNNNNNNNNNNNNNNNNNNNNNNNNNNNNNNNNNNNNNNNNNNNNNNNNNNNNNNNNNNNNNNNNNNNNNNNNNNNNNNNNNNNNNNNNNNNNNNNNNNNNNNNNNNNNNNNNNNNNNNNNNNNNNNNNNNNNNNNNNNNNNNNNNNNNNNNNNNNNNNNNNNNNNNNNNNNNNNNNNNNNNNNNNNNNNNNNNNNNNNNNNNNNNNNNNNNNNNNNNNNNNNNNNNNNNNNNNNNNNNNGGAUUUUUUUGGCUUUCAAGCCAAAGUGAAAAGGCGGUAAAAGCUGAAGUAUAAGCUCAAACAAACAAGGCCAUAGAGAUAGAUCGAACAAUUAGUUUGCAUGGUGGUGCGAGCUAUAUGGGCCGCGACCCACUAGGGAAGUGCGUGAGCGCUAGCUAGUCUUUGCGGUGCUUAUAAGGUGCCAAUGAGGGGCUCUUGAGGCUGGUCAUAGUAGGGAGUAACUUAGGCCUCCUUUAGUUUAGAGGAAUUUCAUAGGAAUUCUAGAGGAUAGGAUUUUGAUAGGAUUUUUUCCUUUAGAGCCAUUUGGUUCAUAGGAAUGAAUUUCUAUUCCUACAUAGGAUUGGUUCCUAUCCUCCACAUUUCAUAGGAAAAUAAAAAAGAGCCUAGACUCAAUGGAAAAAUUCCUUUGGUGUCGACCAAAUGACAUCUUGUUUCCUAUUUCUACUCAUAGGAUUUGAGAUACAUGUCAUCUCAUUUCCUACAAGAUUCUUAUUCCUAUGAUAAUUCUAUCCUAUGAACCAAAAAAGGCCUUAAACUAGUAACAUGCAUAUGUUACUAGUCUAUGUUACUACCUCUAUAGUGCAUAGUAUCAUAGAUUAAUAUCAUAGGUGGUCUCAUUUAUUGCCAUGCAUGACACAUAGUAGCAUCAUAUUUAUUAUAUUACUGUAUCUACCUAUGUUACUAUAACCAUCUCUCUCUUCUUUAAUUGCCUUCCAUAUAAGCAUGUUUGCGAGUUCCAAGUGCAUGAUACUACUUAUGUUAUCCCCACUAUGGCCAGCCUGAGACUGAUCGGGCCAGCAUCGAUCUUAGACAAUUUGGCUUCACAGUUUGACCGAUCGAGCCAGAUUUGACAAGAUUGCCUUUAAACACCGACAUGAUUAAUACGGGAGGAACUAAUCAAGGCGUACUACUAGCGCCCUCUCAACCUCCACCACAUGUCGCAAGCUGGGCGUUCCCUCGAAAUUUAGUUUUUUACUCUACUAGUAAUAAUGUACGUGCAAUGCACGUUUAUAUUAUGUAGAAUAUUAGUUGCACGUUAUAUUAGGUAAGAUAUAUCUGUUGCACCUUGGUAUUUGGUAGGAUAUCAAUUAUUAUUUUCGCGGGAAGGUAGGAUAUUAAUUACAUGACAUAUUUCAUGGGAUAGCAUCGAGUCAAAACAUGUUUAUAACCAAUAGCAUUGGUGGGUAAUUAGAGUGUUAAACGUGUUUGAUGCUCAACAUUGGAGCGAUUUGAAUCGCUAGAUAACAUGAUUUGACGGUCGAGAUGGUUUGGAUCUGCCCCUUUGGGUCUUUUUAUAUUGGUAUAGAUACGUGUUUUCGGGUUUUAGAUGGUUUUCCAGCCUGGUUUUCCCUAGCUUCUAGAAGAAAAAGUAAAAAAAUCAUGAAAAAGGCGGGUUUUUCUUCUUCCACGGGAGGCACAGAUUUGCUUUCCGUGGAGGCACAGAUUUGCUUCCGAGGGAGGCACAUAUUUGCUUCUCGUGAAGGCACAUACUCAAAAAAAAGAAAAAACAUCUUUUUUUCUUAGAGACACAGAUUUGCUUCCGUGAGAAAAAAAAAUGCUUUUUUUGCUUUCACGGGAGGUACAUAUUUGCUUCUCGCGCAGGCACAUAAUCUCAAGAAAGAAAAAGGAAACAUUUUCUUUUUGCUUGGAUGGCAUAGAUUCCGCGAGAGGCAUAGUUGUGCAUGUCGAAAAGGGAAAAAACGUGCUUUUUCUUCUAUGAGAAGCACCUCUCGGAAAUGAAAAAACAAGUAUUUGUUCUUUCGCGGGAAGCACAAAUUUGCUUCCGCGAGAGGCACAACUUCCGACUAGAUUAUCUUUUCUUUUGUUUUAUUUCCAAAAAAAAGUUCAUCGAAACUUAUUAGCAUGGGAUCUAGUUUCGAAUAUCUCGGCGGAAGAAAUUCAACAGUGAAAAUGGUUCAAGAUUUGAAUGCACAGUUUAAGAUAUAAAACAUUUUGAAUAAGCAAAUCUACAGGAAAAAAAGAACUUCUAGAUUAUGACAAGUAGCACACAUGCAGUGCGUCACUUGUCAACUAUGAAAAGACGAGAGUGAACUUUGUAAGCGAUACCUUUUAAUUAGUGAUCUUGGAGUAAUACGAUGGUCUUUGUGCGUGGACGAUAUCCGCUUGAAAUGGACGCCCCGACACGCGCCACUCUCUGGGGAAAUUAGUUCCGUCUUAGUAUAAUCUAGUUUUCUAAGCCUUUAACGUACUGCCAUCAUCCACCUCAGUUACGUGUAGUGCAUGGCGCCAACCAGUGGCACCAUAUACAUUGCCCUUCCUAGCCGUCCCAUGCUUAAUGAUUCGACCGACGUGACCAUCAGUUUAGUCCGCCCGGCACCCGCACCCGCACCGCACAGAGAUGACAUGACGACGACACGAUCGCCCUGCCUUGCAUCAUUGUUAACUAAAUGGCGCGCGAAUGCGUGGCGCCAUCAAGCCUUUAAAGCUGCCACGUACAUCAUCCUCGAUCCCAUUUCGCGCAUCUCUUCCGUCUGGCCGCAGUCGUAUGAUCAUCCGCACCUGCGCUAGUGAUAGUACUACAAAGACUAUUUAACGCGAUCGACGCAACAUUAGAAUGUGGCCCAGCGCAACACAUGCUCGGCGUUUGUCUCAUGUGCAACUAAACUAUGCCAUCUCCGUCCAGAAUGGACGGUCGGUCGUGCACCGGUUCCCCUUGUUUUGGAAAAAAAAAUUAUAAUAGUAGUACGAAUCAACUGCUCCCCCUUACUACCUAACAUUACAAUGUGCAAGUGAUUAGUGAGUAGUGACGGUGAGGUCCACUUGGCGACCAACCACGUCGAUCCGGCCCAAAGUGGUUAGCCUGUAACGAUUACGUGAUUAACCUUGAGCGUUUUGUCUGCGCGGGCACUAGCUCGUGAAAUGAAUGGGAGAUUCAUACUACUAUACUACUACUAGUACAUUCGGUGCACGCGGAUAUGCCCCGAGAUCAACGCUUCUUCUGACUUCUGUUUCCUCGAAGGAAAGAAAACGCAUGUUACUCAAAGAAAACGGCGGAAUUCAGAUAUUGCCGCGGGGCCUGUCGAUUCCAUAAUUGACAUGCUGCCGGUGAGCAUGUGAGCCAGCUCCCCUGCCUUGAAGUUGAAUCCAUAUUUUUGGAAACUAGAUGUGGCUUUUGCGCCGCAGAAACUUCACCAAGUUACUUUACCAAAGCUGUUGAUGUGCUUUAGUUCUCUCGGUAGAUACGCGCACUUUACUGGGGACGAUAGCAAAAUUUGUGACGGGUGGUCUCAAGUAAUAGAAAUCGGAAGGAGUGGCCUCUCUUUUAUUAAAGGAAACGCAUGAUUUAUGACUUGUCAAUUUUCGAACUUGGUGAGCAGCGAUACGGUGUGUCUAGUCACGAACGAUUCGUCAAGCAACGAAAAGAGAAAGAAAACGGGCGGGAGCAGGUAGCGAUCGCGCGCGCGAGGCAGAGAGCAAUCAUGCAUACGGCAUACCAAAGCAAUGGAGCAGCCCGAAAAGGCUCUGUCCUAUCACUGGCGACUACCGUUGACUUAACAAACUAAGAGCAUUUACGGUUCGACUUAGUAGCAAAUUCGUUUCCUUAGGCCUCGAUUGGAAUGUCGUUUUCAGCGCUUUUACACCUGUAAAAUAUACAGACCACGACCCGUCGUUUUGAUUCUCAGCUGAAAUUAGCACACGGCUGGUAAAAUACACUUGUAAAACAAAUACAGGUGUAUAAAAAUACACCGAUUCCAAACAGGGCCUUAGUGGGGAAUAACUUAGGCUGAUCAUAGUGGGGAGUAAGGGCAUCUCCAAUGGUGGUAAGAUAGUUGUUGGUAGAUUUUGCCAUAUAAAUUUUUUGAUAAUGUGUCAUACAAUAAAUGAGGAAAAAGAGAAAGGUUGCACUUCCUCUGUUUUUAUUUAGUCUGCAUAUUAUAUUUGACCGAAGUCAAACUUUGCAAAGUUUGACCAAAUUUAUAGAAAAAUAUAUAAACAUUUACCAUAACAAAUCUAUAUGAUAUGAAAGUACAUUCAAUAAUGAAUCUAGUGGUAUUGAUUUUUUAUUGUAUAUUAUAAUAUUUUUGUUUAUAAAUUUAGUCAAAAUUUACAAAGCUUGACUUUGACCAAAACUAAUAUGCGGACUAAGUAAAAACGGAGGAAGUAUAUACUCCCUCUAGUCCUUUUUAGUCUGCAUAUAACUCUUGACCCGCAUACCAAGGUGAGAUUUUUGCAGAUGAUUUUAGACUAGUAUGCCCUUCUGUUUGCAUUGAGAAAGCUGCAACGCUCUAUUUAUUGCUGCAAACUAACUGGCUGCAUGCAGUCGUAUUUUACUCCCACGCAUGGCCCCAACAUGCAAACCAGGCUGGCUGCAGCCAUAACCUCCCGUGCACAAUCCCACAUGCAAACUGAUUAGCCGUAUGGUACGCCUCUCCAUUCCAAACGCAUGCGAACAGUUGCAUGCAAAGCAAAUAAUUAGGGGCAAAAUAGAAAAGAAAGACCAAAACAUGCUGCCGCGCAGAGUAAUACGAGAAAAACGGAAAAACCUUAGACGCAAAGUAAAAAUGACCGGAGGGAGUACAUGAACCAACACUCCUUGCACAGGCUCCAAUGUAGAAUAAAAGAGCACCUUAUUUAUUAUCUCACAUCCUAUUGGGCAAACUAGAUAGUACAACCCAUUAAAGUUGUUGUAUGUUAAGGUGUUGGUUGAUGACAUGGCAUAUUUUACCAACAAGGUAACAUACAAACCGUUGAAGAUGCCCUAACUUAUACUAGUGUCAUGCAUAUGACACUAAUCUAAGUUACUGCCUCCAUAGUGCAAAGUAACAUAGUGAUAGUGUCAUCAUUUAUUAGCUUGUAGACUCAUCAUUUUUCGGAAAACGCUAUGUUACAGUAAUAUAUUAUGUUACUCUAAACACCCCUCUCCUUAUUAAUUACAUGACAUAUAAGCAAAUUUGUCUUGAAAUGCGCUAUGUUACUAGCUAAGUUGCUUCCACUAUGACCAGCCUUAGACUAGUGUCAUGCAUAUGACAUUAGUCUAUGUUACCACCCUUAUAGUGUAAAGUGUCAUACAAAUAGUAACAUAUAUGGUUGCAUUUAUUAGCUUUUAGACUCAACUUUUCUUGGGAAACGCUAUGUGAUGGUAACACAAUAUGUUACUCCAAACACCUCUCUCCUUAUUAACUAGUUGUCACAUAAGGAAACUUGUCUCGGGAUAUGUUAUGUUACUUGCUAUGUUACUCCCACUAUGACCAGCCUUAUAUGCUCACGAGUGUGUCGGGAGGUGUCUGCGGACAGCAUCGGACGGUCUCUNNNNNNNNNNNNNNNNNNNNNNNNNNNNNNNNNNNNNNNNNNNNNNNNNNNNNNNNNNNNNNNNNNNNNNNNNNNNNNNNNNNNNNNNNNNNNNNNNNNNNNNNNNNNNNNNNNNNNNNNNNNNNNNNNNNNNNNNNNNNNNNNNNNNNNNNNNNNNNNNNNNNNNNNNNNNNNNNNNNNNNNNNNNNNNNNNNNNNNNNNNNNNNNNNNNNNNNNNNNNNNNGGAAAUGCAUGCACGUCCAUCAUGCACGUGAAAUGUCACAUGUAAAUAAACAUAAAAAUUACUUUAGGUGUCCAAUUCAAACAUUAGCCUUUUGGUUUUCAUUGUAGACCCACAUAUACUUCAAAAUAUUAUUGAGUAGCUACGCAUGCACCUGAUGAUCUAGAAGAUUCUGAUGCAUCUGCAAAAAAAUCAUAAGUUGGUCUGCAUCCUGAUCUUUCGGGGUGUGGACUUGUUCCCGAGUCGUUUCAAAAUCAUUGGUUGGGGCUACCCCAUCACUCUCGUCUUUGACAAUCAUAUUGUGCCAAAUGACACAACAUGUCAUCAGCUAUCACAAAAGUCUUUGAUUCCCACAUCAUUGCAGCUCCACGAACAAUUCUACAAUGAGGUUGAAACACUGUGAAUGCCCUCUCCACAUCCUUGCUAGUUGUUUGGUGCAUUGUUGCAAAGUGGCUUUGUUUGUUGCCUUGGGAUCAUAUAUGGUCUUCACAAACACCGCCCAUUGAGGAUAGAUACCAUCGGCAAGGUAGUACCACAU